rnacentral:piRNA from 1 species
UGCCAGCUUGAGUGUCCUUGCCA